UAGUACAGCCAGUGCUCACUUC
rnacentral:miRNA from 1 species